GGGCCCGUAGCUCAGCCUGGCAUGGUGUUUGGCUAAGCGCGAACACCCUGGGCAAUUAGAGCGUCCGGCUCUUAACCGGAAGGUCGGGGGUUCGAACAGCCCAAGUACGCUGGGCGAACGUGUUUCAAGUGGGGUUUCACUUUGUUCAACCCUACGAUAAACGCAAACCAGCGGGGCACGAAUGUCCCUCCGGGCUCG
rnacentral:tRNA from 1 species